AUUCCCAUAGUAACUGCGAGUGAAAGGGGAACAGCCCAGCGCCGAAUCCUGAUACUGGCAACGGUGUUGGGAACUGUGGCGUGAAGAGAGUUCUGAUUAGCGAGGCUUGCCGACGUAAGUCCUCCUGAGCGAGGCUCCAUCCCAUGGAGGGUGCAAGGCCCGUAUCGUUCGGUAGCUGUCGCUGAUUUCUACUCUCGGAGAGUCGCCUUGUUUGCGAGUACAAGGUGAAGUCGGUGGUAAACUCCAUCGAAGGCUAAAUAUGACCACGAGUCCGAUAGCGAACAAGUACCGUGAGGGAAAAUUGAAAAGCACUUUGAAGAGAGAGCGAAACAGUGCGUGAAACCGCUCAGAGGCAAGCAGAUGGGGCCUCGAAGGCAAAGCAGCGAAUUCAGCGAUCAGUCCGUGUAGCUGGCUGACGUUCAAGAUGGUUAAACACUUGGCGUUGGUUGUGCUUCUGCAUGGCUGGUCGUGCACUUUCGUUGUUUGUACGCCACCGCCGUUGAGCGAGCAUCCGUUGGGCUAGCUAAUGAAGCCUUACUCCUUCACGGGCGUAGGUGCUUAUGGCUUACUUCAACGCGUUUGCGCCUCAACCGGUCAUGUCAGCAUGUGCCAGCGUUUGCGUUGGUCCGGUACGCUCCGAUUAGAUGUCGUGGGAUGACGAACUUGUUCGGCUCCUCGACGUUUGGUGGACCCGUUGCCGGAUUUCAACCUAGGCACAUUGUAGAUUCGGUGGCGAGUAGAUGGCUG
rnacentral:rRNA from 1 species